GUCGUGAGAUGUUGGGUUAAGUCCCGCAACGAGCGCAACCCUUAUUCUAUGUUGCCAGCGGAUUAUGCCGGGGACUCGUAGAAGACUGCCGGGGUCAACUCGGAGGAAGGUGGGGACGACGUCAAGUCAUCAUGCCCCUUAUGUCCAGGGCUGCAAACACGCUACAAUGGCCGGUACAAAGGGCUGCUAACUCGCGAGAGCCAGCGAAUCCCGUAAAGCCGGUCUCAGUUCGGAUUGGAGGCUGCAACUCGCCUCCAUGAAGCUGGAGUUGCUAGUAAUCCCGGAUCAGCACGCCGGGGUGAAUACGUUCCCGGGCCUUGUACACACCGCCCGUCACACCACGAAAGUCGGCAACACCCGAAGCCGGUGGCCUAACCCGUAAGGGGAGGAGCCGUCGAAGGUGGGGUCGGUGAUUGGGGUGAAGUCGUAACAAGGUAGCCGUACCGGAAGGUGCGGCUGGAUCACCUCCUUUCUAAGGAGAACAGUUCAAUCGUUGGUAGGCAUUCGUCCUACCCGGUUCGAACCACUCCCAGUUGGUGCAUUGGUGGGUAAGUCGAAAUGGCAGGUCAAUCGCAGGAUUCGUCCUCUUGGCAUGCCGGCUCGACGAGCUUUGUCUUCUCUUCCGUUUUGAGGGAGUCGACCCAUUUGGGUCUCUCGACCCCCUCGGCGAUGGCAUGGAGCUCGCUCCCUCUGCCCACGUGGUGCCCCCUUCGACGAAACGUCGAUUGUGCGGCCCCGUUCGCAGCCCUUUGAGAACUGCAGAGCAAGCACGAGCAUCUUUGUUCUUCCAAGCUACAAAGAGCCAACGGUGGAUGCCUUGGCGCCAAGAACCGAUGAAGGACGUGAGUGACUGCGAAAAGCUGCGGGGAGCCGUCUACUAGGCAUUGAUCCGCAGAUGU
rnacentral:sRNA from 1 species